rnacentral:lncRNA from 1 species
UCACAGAGAGAGAGAGAGAGAGAGAGAGAGAGAGAGAGAGAGAGAGAGAGAGGAGGANNNNNNNNNNNNNNNNNNNNAAACAUGUUUCGAAACGUUGCUUUAGUCCCAUAAAUGUUCAUAGUAUUUUCUUCCAAGUUGAAUGAGGGAGUUGCGGGGGAAAUCGGCGGCGGCGGCCUCGAUCUGUCGCAGGAGGUCAAAAGCGGCGGUGUGACGAUAAAUACCCUCUAAUCUUAUGUAUCCUUUCCAAGAAUAAGCAACAAUCUGUGCUAUGAUGUAAGGGACGAGACCACCAGUCUGUGUGAUACUCGGAGUUCCAAUCCACCGAGGGGUUCUCACGGCGUAGCGCCACUAAUGAAUAAUAAUCUCCAUCGUACGACUGCUCGUUGUUGGGUAUCUCAACUGAACUGGUUGGACCUCAGCCUAGUUCUCAAGCAAAACCUCGGCUUGGCUUGAGACCCUUCGCCCUACGAAAACAUGUUCGCAGAUGGAGGGAGCUGGAUGGAGGUAGCCCCAACCUAAAAGGAUCUUUGACCAUUUAGUCCAAGAUUAUUGAGUCAGGUCUCACCUGUUACGCCCUAAUUUUUCCAUAAAACUAGAUUAUUACAUUCCGUUCACUCAGAACGUGAGCACUAUCGGC